AACCUCCGCAAUGCGAGCAAUCGCGACGGGGGGACCCCAAGCGCCACUCUUAACGGGGUGGCUUUUCUUAAGUGUAAAAAGCUUUUGGAAUAAGGGCUGGGCAAGACCGGUGCCAGCCGCCGCGGUAACACCGGCAGCUCUAGUGGUAGCCAUUUUUAUUGGGCCUAAAGCGUUCGUAGCCGGUUUGAUAAGUCUCUGGUGAAAUCCUAUAGCUUAACUGUGGGACUUGCUGGAGAUACUAUUAGACUUGAGGUCGGGAGAGGUUAGCGGUACUCCCAGGGUAGGGGUGAAAUCCUGUAAUCCUGGGAGGACCACCUGUGGCGAAGGCGGCUAACUGGAACGAACCUGACGGUGAGGGACGAAAGCCAGGGGCGCGAACCGGAUUAGAUACCCGGGUAGUCCUGGCCGUAAACGAUGUGGACUUGGUGUUGGAAUGGCUUCGAGCUGCUCCAGUGCCGAAGGGAAGCUGUUAAGUCCACCGCCUGGGAAGUACGGUCGCAAGACUGAAACUUAA
rnacentral:rRNA from 1 species